rnacentral:rRNA from 1 species
UGGGGAAUAUUGGGCAAUGGGGGAAACCCUGACCCAGCAACGCCGCGUGAAGGACGAAGGCCUUCGGGUUGUAAACUUCUUUGAUCAGGGACGAAAGCAAUGACGGUACCUGAAGAACAAGCCACGGCUAACUACGUGCCAGCAGCCGCGGUAAUACGUAGGUGGCGAGCGUUAUCCGGAUUUACUGGGUGUAAAGGGCGUGUAGGCGGGUUUGCAAGUCGGGUGUGAAAGAUUCGGGCUUAACCCGGAGAGGUCAUCCGAAACUGCAGAUCUUGAGUGCUGGAGAGGAUAGUGGAAUUCCUGGUGUAGCGGUAAAAUGCGUAGAGAUCAGGAGGAACACCAGUGGCGAAGGCGGCUAUCUGGACAGUAACUGACGCUGAGGCGCGAAAGCGUGGGGAGCAAACAG